rnacentral:rRNA from 1 species
GACGAACGCUGGCGGCGUGCUUAACACAUGCAAGUCGAACGGGCCUGUCUUCUUUUUUGGGGGUGGGUUGAGUGGCGAACGGGUGAGUAUCACGUGAGUAACCUGCCCUUCGGUCCUGGAUAACCGCUUGAAAGGGCGGCUAAUACGGGGUGGUCCGGUUGGUCCGCAUGGGCUGGUCGGGAUAGAUUCACUGUUUUUGGUGUUUCGGCGGGGGAUGGGCUCGCGGCCUAUCAGCUUGUUGGUGGGGUGAUGGCAUACCAAGGCGGUGACGGGUAGCCGGCUUGGGAGGGUGGGCGGCCACACUGGGCCGUGGAUACGGCCCAGACUCCUGCGGGAGGCAGCAGUGGGGGGUAGUGCACAAGGGGCGGAAGCCUGAUGCAGCGACGUCGGGUGAGGGAUGGAGGCCUUCGGGUUGUGAACCUCUGUUUCCGGUGGUGAAGGCCCUGUCCGUGUGGUGGGGUUGACGGUAGCCGGGGAUGAAGCGCCGGCUAACUACGUG